GGUAGCAUCUCUGGCUGCUGUUGAUCUUGUUUUUGGAGUAAAACACGGUGGAAGCUGAAUUAGUGAGGAAGACUCCUGCUCCUGUCAUCUCUAAGCUCCUCACACAUCUUUACCUGCACAUGAGGAAAAUCACUCCUGUAGAAUGCAGAUGUUCAGAGGGAGAUGAUGCCACAUCUGGUCCAGCUGAUGGAAGGUCUUGAAGUUCUCUGACUGGCCUCGACUGAAGAUGGUCGUCUCACUGGAUUUAAGGUUCAGAUGCUCAGUAACAAACUCCACCAAUGUGCCAACAGGGAAGCUUUAGGUUUAUUAAAUGUUGCUAUGAAGGUUUCGCUGUUUUUCUUUGUGAAUGCAAUGUGCUCCAACUGAAACUUGAAUUAGAACUUAGAAGUAAAUCCUUCCAUCUGAAAGGAUUUAGUUGCAUUAAUAACCUCAUAACAUUCUAAUUUUUAUUCCAGUCUUGGUUGGAAAUAGAAUCUCUGUAUUGAUUCAGGUAAAAACUGAACUUCACAGCAUGUUGGAGCAAAACAACCAGAUGAAAACUGUGAUGGUGUUGGAUUGUCAGACCGUAAUGUUGCAGCUCAAAGCAGCUUUUCUAUCUCAGUUCAUUCUGACAUUCAGCUAUGAAUCAACACAGCAGAUGGUGAUCCAUGCUGUGGAAGUCUCACAUCUCCUGAUUUAAUGGAGCUGCUUUGCACUUUUUAC
ensembl:lncRNA